rnacentral:rRNA from 1 species
UGGGGGAUAUUGCACAAUGGGCGAAAGCCUGAUGCAGCGACGCCGCGUGGGGGAUGAAGGCUUUCGGGUUGUAAACCUCUUUCGCUAUCGAACAAGGCCCGCUUAGGGUGGGCUGCGGGUAGGUGGAGAAGAAGCGCCGGCUAACUACGUGCCAGCAGCCGCGGUAAUACGUAGGGCGCGAGCGUUGUCCGGAAUUAUUGGGCGUAAAGGGCUUGUAGGCGGCUUGUUGCGCCUGCUGUGAAAACGCGGGGCUUAACUUCGCGCGUGCAGUGGGUACGGGCAGGCUUGAGUGUGGUAGGGGAGACUGGAAUUCCAGGUGUAGCGGUGGAAUGCGCAGAUAUCUGGAGGAACACCGAUGGCGAAGGCAGGUCACUGGGCCAUUACUGACGCUGAGGAGCGAAAGCAUGGGUAGCGAACAGG